UACAGAGGUCUCGAGCGUUGUUCGGAUUCAUUGGGCGUAAAGGGUGCGUAGGUGGCGUGGUAAGUCGGGUGUGAAAUUUCGGAGCUUAACUCCGAAACUGCAUUCGAUACCGCUGUGCUUGAGGACUGGAGAGGAGACUGGAAUUUGCGGUGUAGCAGUGAAAUGCGUAGAGAUCGUAAGGAAGACCAGUGGCGAAGGCGGGUCUCUGGACAGUUCCU
rnacentral:rRNA from 1 species